rnacentral:rRNA from 1 species
UUAAUUUAUAUAAUAUUUAUUUUUAUUUAAUUUUUUUCUUAGUAGUAUAAUAGAUUGUAUGUUAAUUAACUGUUAAGGUUAAUUUUUAAUUUAAAGGUUAAAUUUAUAUUACCUUUUGUAUCAGGGUGAAUUUAUUAAUUAAUUUAUUUUUUAAUCCCGAAUAAUAGAUAUCUAAUUUUAUAUUUAUUAAGUUGUUUUAUAAACUUAUUUAAUUUAAUUAUUGUAGUUAAAUGUUAACGUUCUUUUAUAUAUCUGGUUGUUAAAAAUUUAAUUUAAUUAUAGAGUUCUUUUUAGAUUUAUUUUUAUAUAAGAAUUCUAAAUUUAUUAGGGAUAAUCUUAAUAUAAAAUUAUAAUUUGUUUUUUUAUAUUUUUAUUAUUAAUAGAAUCUUUUAUUUAGUUCUUAAUAGAUUAUUUUAUGUUUAUAUAAUUUUAUUUGAUUUAAUUUUUUAUUUAGCUUUUUUAUAUAAUUUAAAUAUUUUUUAAUAUUGAUUUAAUAAGUAUAAUUUUUAAUUUAAGUUUUAUGAAUUCAGCAUAUUUAAUUUUCAACUGUUUAUCAAAAACAUUUCUUUAUGUAUUAUAUAUAAAGUAAUUUCUGCCCUAUGAUAAAUUUUAUUUAAAUGGCUGCAGUAUAUUGACUGUACAAAGGUAGCAUAAUAAUUAGUUUUUUAAUUGGAAACUUGAAUGAAAGGAUAAAUGAAAAAUUAACUUUAUUAAUUUUUAUAUUAAAAUUUUAUUUUUUGGUUAAAAGGCUAAAUUGUUUUUUAGGGACGAUAAGACCCUAUAGAAUUUAAAAUAUAUAUUUAUUGAUUUUUUUUUAGAUUAAAUUUAUUCAUUAAAUUUAAAUUUUUAAUUGGGGUGAUUAAUUAAUAAAACUUUUUUUUCUUAAUUCAUUAAUUUAUGUAAUUAUGAUCCUUUAUAAGAUUAUAAGAUAAAUUACCUUAGGGAUAACAGCGUAAUUUUAAUAGAAAGUUCAUAUUUAAAUUAAAGUUUGCGACCUCGAUGUUGAAUUAAGAUAUAAUUAAGGUGUAGAAGCUUUGAUGUUAAGUCUGUUCGACUUUUAAAAUCUUACAUGAUUUGAGUUCAAACCGGUGUAAGCCAGGUUGGUUUCUAUCUUAAAAUUUAUUUUAAUUAUUAGUACGAAAGGACCAUAAUUAAUAGUCUUUAUUAUAUUUUUUU